AGAUGGUGGUGUGGGAAACUUCGUUGAAGUUCAUUGAAUCUCUCCCACGCUCCAUACAAAGCUUCUCCAUCAUGUUGAAAGAAAUCAAUAAUUUCUUUCGUCAAUCU